AAACUUACAUGACUAACAAAGACAUCGUUUUACAUCGUGACCGAAUACAGACAAAGUACAGACACAAGUGCACCAACACUCAGGAGGGGUGCCCGCCUAAGGUCGGCCCAAGUGGUCGAGCCUACGUCAUAAUUUGUGGCAGUGGAGGCCUGCGUUCGCGCGGCCUCUGC
rnacentral:scaRNA from 1 species